GACUUGAUAAAAACUGCUUUCUUGUCCGAGCCUAUUAAAGGAUGUAUUCUUAUCAUUACAAAUGAAUCAAGUGUUGCCACACAUUGCGUAGAGGAGGAAGAUAGGGUUCUCAACAUCGAAGAUUUGAAAGCCCACACUAUGCUUCACCCCUUGAUAAAGGAUUGCCAAAACUAUGGAAUUAGAGGGAAGGAGGCUACUCACAGGGGUCGCCUUUUCUCCAUCAGAUUGGGGGAGACGCGUGAAUGGUUCACAAAAUUUGGACACAUGUAUCGGGAAGAAGUGAGGGACCUUUGGUUUCUUUUAGACAAUCCUGGUGUGAGCUCGUUGUGGGGACCUGCUGGUGCUGGGUUAUCAACUCUUGUUAGAAUCUUGUACUACAAGGUAAUGCUUAGGUCUGAUGCUUCUUGGGAGUGGGAAUAUCAAGAGAGGCCAGUUAACUGGGAAGAGAAAAUUACAAUGUUUAGCUGGGUUGAUGUGCCCCAUCCUUUCAAUUUAAAAGACUUCUGUUGGCGCUUGUUACUGGAUUUUCGUUCAGAUGAUCUUCGAGCCAAGAAAAUUGCUGCAGUUGGUAUAAUGGAAGGCCAAGACCCAAUUCAACAGUGUUCUAAGAUUCUGCAUGAAGACGAAUGUGUCAUCGUUAUUGAUGGUCUACGGUCCACCGAUGAUUGGGAUUUGAUAAAAUCUGCCAUAUUACCUGACCCAAUUACCAGCCAUAUUAUUGUCAUUGCAAAUGCUGCAAGUGUUGCCACACAUUGCGUAGAUAAGGAAGAUCGAGUGAUCAAGAUAAAUUGUCUAGAAGCUGAUGUGACCAUUGGUCCCCCGAUAAAGGGUUGUGCUUCUCGUGUAUUCUCCAACAGGAGAGCAGAGGCACGUGCCUUGGUCAACACAUUUACACUUCUUGGGCAUCAGAAUCGAUCAGCUGCUGACCUUCGCUGCAGUUUAGAUUCCUCAGGUCCUAGUGUGUCCUCGUUGUGGGGAAUUGCUGGUGUGGGGAAGUCAGCCGUGGUCAGAAGUCUGUACAGCCACCUGUUGCUUGGACUGGAUCAAUAUUUCAAGUUUGGCAGCGGACACAACCUCACUGAUCCCCGAACGGAAUUUACAAUGUGCAGUUGGGCAGACGUGCGUCAUCCAUUUAAUUUGACUGACUUGGCUUGGCAUUUGCUCCUGGAUUUUCAUUCAGAUGAUUUUCAAGCUAAGGAAAAGGCAGCAAUUGGUAUCAUUGAAGGGCAAGAUCCGGUUCAAGAGUGUCGUAGAAUUCUGUCUGAGUACAGAAGUCUCGUUGUUAUCGAUGGCUUACGGUCUAGAGAGGAUUGGGACUUGAUAAAAGCCGCCUUCGUACCCGAUUCUACGAAUGCAUGUAUCAUUGUAAUUACAAAUGAAGCAAGCGUGGCUACACAUUGUGUAGAUAAGGAAGAUGGAGCGGUCAAUGUCAAAUGUCUUGAAGCUGACAUGGCGCUCAUUCUCUUCAAACAGAUCACAAAGGAUGGGAUAGAAUUGACUCCUGACGAGAUGGAGCUCUCCAAAGUUACCGUAGGCAGAUGUGGUGGGAUUCCUAAAGUUAUUGCUACUAUAGGCCAACUCUUCACCAAAGAGAAUGCCGCUAGAAGGCACUGGUCUGUAUUGGCCACAGAUUUGUUGAAGGAGAUAAAUGAUGACUUUAUGCACAAGUUGGAGACCGAUCAAGAAUUUCACAGUUUAAGGGAUCUAUUCUCUUGGAUGCGGUCCUACUUUGAUGGUUGCUCAGAUUCCCUCAAGCCAUGUAUUUUCUAUCUGUCAAUCUUCCCUCCAGAGCAGAAGCUAAGGCAGAGGCAUUUGUUGAGGCGGUGGAUUGCUGAGGGUUAUUGCAGGGACACGUAUAAUGCUACUGCAGAGGAGAAUGGGAAGAGAUUGUUCAUGGAACUCGUUAGUUUGAGCAUAAUCCAACGAUGUCAGAAGACGAUGAAGUGCCUAUACCAAGUCAAUGGUUUCUUUCAUGAAUACACCAUUUCACGGCGAAUGGAAGACAACCUUGUCUUUGCACUAAAGGGGAAUUGCAGCCCGAACUCGCAACAUGCAGGUCAACACCUCACCAUAAGGGAGGACUGGGACAGGGACAUCACAGUGUUUAAGACCAUGGAUUUCUCACUACGGUCCUUGACUGUGUUUGGGAAGUGGAUCUCAUUCUUCCUCUCCUCUGACAUGAGUCUACUUCGGGUGUUAGAUAUGGCGGACACAUCAGGUAUACUAGAUGCUGACCUUGAGCAGAUCGUGAAGGUGCUACCUCGUCUUAAGUUUCUCUCUCUGCGAGGAUGCAAAGAGAUAAGCCAUCUACCGGAAUCAUUCGGUGGCCUGAGGCAGCUGCAAACUUUGGAUAUCAGAGACACCUCAAUUUCCAUGCUACCAUCGUGUGUCAUCAAGCUACAGAAGUUGCAAUACAUUCGUGGUGGCACCAUCAUAUCAUCAGAUGAAGGUGAUGAAUCUGUUGCAAGUGUACCAACAACAAACGUAGAACAAACAUCAUUGCCACCGGAGGGCAGUGAUGACAUGGUCACAACACUACCGGAAACAACAGAGGAGGUUCAGAUAUCAACACCACCUGAAGGUAGUGAUGACGUGGUCACAACUCUGCCGGAAACUACAGAGGAGAUUCAGACAUCAGCACUACCAGAAACGAGAACAGAGGUUCAGACAUCAACAUCACCUGAGGGCAAUGAUGACAUGGUCACAGCACUACCGGAAACAACAGAUUUUCAGACAUCAACACGGUUGUCAUGGAGCUACCGGCCAUGUAGUUUGGUGUCUAGCUGGUUAUCCAAGUUGCGCAGACGCCGACUUGAUAAUGAUGGUGUUGAGGUUCCUGCAGGGAUUGGGAGCAUGACAGCAUUGCAUACUAUUGGUGUUGUGAAUGUCAAUAUUCCUAAUGGAAAGGCAAUCCUAAAGGAGCUUCAGAACCUUACACAACUGCGCAAGCUCCGCGUUUCUGGCAUAAACAGGCAGAACAUACAAGAAUUGUGUAAUUUCAUCUCCGGCCACAAGCAUCUGGAGUCCUUGUCAGUGCGACUCGAUAAGGAUAAGGAUAAGGAGGGGUCAUUUGCUUGUUUCGGUGACAUGAUUUCCCAGCCACCCAAGACCCUAAAGAGCGUUAAGCUAUACGGACAUGUAAACAAACUGCCAAUUUGGAUCAAACAGCUUCAUAAUCUCAAGAAGUUUUAUCUUGAGUUGACUAUACUAGUGCCGGAGGACAUGCACUUCUUUGGUGAAUUGCCAGAUAUAUAUUGCUUACAUCGCCUUUGUGUCAAGCCGAUUCAAGAUGGUGAACUCCAUUUUAGCACCCUGGGAGAUGUUAUCUUUUGGAGAUUACGGGUCCUAGAGAUCAAUUGCACCUCCAAGUUACUGGUAACUUUUGUAGAGCCGGUGAUUUGGGAAACUGUGGUGCUGAAGAUUCACUGCUCUGGUGGGGCGUCCUUGCAGAUUUCUGGAGUAGAGCAUCUACUUAGUCUCAAAGAACUGUGGCUAAAGGGUUCCUACAGCGACGAACUGAAACGAGAGUUACAAGAACAAGUUUCCAAGCAUGAAAAUAAACCUGUCUUGAAGCUA
rnacentral:rRNA from 1 species